rnacentral:rRNA from 1 species
GACGAGGGGUCCAAGCGUUAAUCGGAAUUACUGGGCGUAAAGCGUGCGCAGGCGGUUAUGCAAGACAGAUGUGAAAUCCCCGGGCUUAACCUGGGAACUGCAUUUGUGACUGCAUAGCUGGAGUGCGGCAGAGGGGGAUGGAAUUCCGCGUGUAGCAGUGAAAUGCGUAGAUAUGCGGAGGAACACCGAUGGCGAAGGCAAUCCCCUGGGCCUGCACUGACGCUCAUGCACGAAAGCGUGGGGAGCAAACAGG